rnacentral:lncRNA from 1 species
AAAUAUGACCUCUUUUAUUUGAGUCUUACUCGAAUUUAGUAUGACUUCAAAUCUGUAACAGUUAAGAUUUGAAGUAAAAUCCUCUAAUAAUGCAUUUCAUGUGCAGGUAGUUGCUGGGCAUUUUCAGCUAUAGUUGGAGUUGAGGGUAUAAAUAAAAUCAAGACAAAUCAAUUAGUCUCAUUAUCUGAGCAAGAGCUUGUCGAUUGUGAGUCUGAUAACCAGGGUUGCAAUGGAGGACUAAUGGAGAAUGCACUGGAGUUCAUCAAGCGAAGUGGUGGAGUCACAACUGAGAGAGUUUACCCGUACAGAGCAAGAGAUGAAAGGUGUGAUGCAACAAAGGUUAGUACUAUGGUCUUAUCACAAUUUCCCGCGAAUAUGUGCUUAUUAACGUGUUUAUGAAGACUGAUGUGAACGUUUAUCUUGCAUUACAGAUGAAUGCUCCAGUUGUUAAGAUUGAUGGGCAUGAGAAUGUACCUGAAAAUAACGAGUAUGCCUUAGCACAAGCUGUUGCAAAUCAGCCUGUAUCAGUUG